rnacentral:rRNA from 1 species
CCUACGGGCGGCAGCAGUGAGGAAUAUUGGUCAAUGGACGAGAGUCUGAACCAGCCAAGUAGCGUGAAGGAUGAAUGCCCUAUGGGUUGUAAACUUCUUUUAUAUGGGAAUAAAAUGUUCCACGUGUGGGAUUUUGUAUGUACCAUAUGAAUAAGGAUCGGCUAACUCCGUGCCAGCAGCCGCGGUAAUACGGAGGAUCCGAGCGUUAUCCGGAUUUAUUGGGUUUAAAGGGAGCGUAGGUGGAUUGUUAAGUCAGUUGUGAAAGUUUGCGGCUCAACCGUAAAAUUGCAGUUGAAACUGGCAGUCUUGAGUACAGUAGAGGUGGGCGGAAUGCGUGGUGUAGCGGUGAAAUGCUUAGAUAUCACGAAGAACUCCGAUUGCGAAGGCAGUUCACUGGACUGCAACUGACACUGAGGCUCGAAAGUGUGGGUAUCAAACAGGAUUAGAUACCCCAGUAGUC